CAGUUCUAUGCAAGGGAAAGCAAUCUUUCAGGUAGGUGAUCUUUCAGGCAAUCUAUGCAGGGCUCCUCCUUGGAGUCCAUUUCAGUACUGGUGCCAUAUCACCGGAUCAGUGUAGCCCAAAAUGUCAUGUUAUGUAUAUGUCUGCUUAUCCCUAGCCAGGAGGAGGAGAUCUGACUUCAGUACCAAAUCCUCUGUAUUCAUCUGUGGCAGGGUUGACUGGCAACUUCCUACGCUCCCAGAUUGAUGUGAUAUAUUCUGCUAAUGGAGUUGGCUUUUCCUGUUGCAAGCGACAAAGGCUUUUAUGCACAAUUCAUGGGGCCCUGCUGUCGAGUACGAUUUCUCCGGAGAUACCCUCCGACUUGAGUGUUUUUAAAAGCGCUGUUUCCUGUGCUGCUAGAUUGUAUCUUGCCAGCUAGCCUCCCUCAAAUGUGCCUGCCUGCUGCAGGUGAGCAGCUUCGUCGGAUGUGUUGGUGGGGGAAGUGCUUCCUCAGACAUCUCUAGCAAAUUUGGCACUGUGGUGCAGGAUUCAGUCAUAGGAACAGGACACCAAGGGGCAUGAGGCUUCUAACUGAUCAGUACAUAGGAAACUGACCUACAGCGAGUCAGAGCAUGGACCUCUCAAGCUCAGUAUUGUCUACAUCAAUGGUGGGGAUGUGGGUGGCACUGUGGUCUAAACCACUGGGCCUCGGGCUUGCCAAUCAUAAGGUCGGCUGUUCUAAUCCGUGUGAUGGGGUGAGCUCCCGUUGCUUUGUCCCAACGUCUGCCAACCUAGCAGUUCGAAAGCAUACCAGUGUGAGUAGAUAAAUAGGUACCACUGUGGUGGGAAGGUAAACGGUGUUUCUGUGUGCUAUGACCCAGAAAACUGUCUGCAGACAGGCUCCCUCGGCCUGAAAACGGAGAUGAGCACCACACCCCAUAGCUGAAUUUGAUUGGACAUAACCAUCUAGGGGUCCUUUACCUUUACCAAAAUCAGUGGUUCCCAAACCUUUAUGGGCCACCCCACCCCCCGGUUCCAUAAACCCAUCCCUAAGACCCCCUACCCGAUAUAAAGCAUUAUUCAGAAUGGUGGUUUGCAUGACCCAUAAGGAAGGGGUCAGCAAGGUUUACCUCAUCUGGGCUGGUUCACUCCCGCAGAAAUCGCUCUGUGAGCCAGAUGGCAUCCGCACAGACGUGAUUUCCAGUGUCGCAGAAGUGAGCCCCCACUCUGCGCUAGUUUAGCACAGCACAUGGGGACUCGCCGAGCAGGCAGCUUGGUUGGGGGGCAGCUCACGGGCCAUUUAAACGACCCCCAUGGGCUGCAGGUUGCUGACCCCUGCACGAAGGAAUAUAGUAACACAAUAAAAUUCAGAACAGUGACAAUUACACAUUUAUUCAAAAUCCAGUUAAAAUACACCCACCACUGAUGGUAAGACAGAAGCUUCUACAGGCUACCAUCCUACACACAGGCACACAUAUAUUUAAUGGUAUUCAUGUUACUAUACAGAAUGGAAGAGGACUGGUCCCUGCCCCAAGGAGCUUGGCAUAUAAAACUCAGCAUCGGAAAGCCACAGAGGAAGGAGAGGGAAGAGGAGCAAAAAUGAAUGGAAGGAAUAUAGUUGCUACAUGCACACAGGUUUGGGUGGAUGCUUAAGGCAUGAGAACUAAGGAGUUACAGCAAUGGCUUCAUUUGGUAAUUACCCUCUCAAAUUUAGAGCUCAGAGCUCUCAGCGAUUCAAAACUUUACAUCCAGCCACAUCCCCAUGCAGUUGACUGGGCUGUCUGGAUUUCACAUCGAGAGAUUUAUUGAUUGCUUUACUUAUUUCAAGGGCUGCUUCUUAAACUUUUCAUUCCAUUUAGUCUCUUCUUUGUCCUUAGUAAAUAUGUCUGGUGAACUUUUAUUAAAAUUAAUAAAAUAACUAAGCUGGUGCAAAGUCAGGGUGGCUGAACCCAACGAUGGAGCAAUCCCCCCCCCCCGUUUUGUUUUAAUUAUUUCUAUUUAUCCAGAUUCCUUUGCCUGGUUCUGAGGCUGGGGAGGCAAAGGGAAAUAGGGGAUUUGGAAAGAAUGAGAGCCACAAACUCCCCCUGAAAUACUUUCCAUAUCAGCCCUUCAUUCCCAUAAACUUCCCUUUGUUCUGUUUCCAAUACAGCUUUGCAAUUGGCUUGGUGCUUUCAAAAGCGAUGGUAAACCUGGUGUUAAUAGGAAAAGAAAUGUAUCCUCUGUCUGAGAUGCAAGUUGAUUUUUAUAUGGGAUGGGGAGGAUGCACUUUCUGAGUUAUUUUUACACAGGGUCACUAAGACUUCUUUUCAGGCUGGAGAAGGAUGGACUUCUGGCUCAGGUCCUGGGGAAUGCAGAUUCAUUUCCUCUCUCUGCCACAGCUUUCCCUUCUGAACCUGGGUAAGUCCAUGUGAAGGGCAAGAUGUCUGGCACGCCUGUAACUCUCAGCAUGCAAAUGCAACUCUUGGUACUUUGUGGCACUCUUUUAUUGCUUGGGAAUCAUUUAUAAAAAGCAUCAACAAUAUAACACGUGCAGCUCAACCCUGUGCAUCUUCAUUUGGAAGCAGGUCCAGCCUUAUUAGUUGAAAUAAAAGAUUGCAAACAAAACUGCCACAAUAGCCAGGUCUUGUUAUUCAUAACUAAGGGUACUUACAAAAGGGACGCAGAUGGUGCUGUGGGUUAAACCACAGAGCCUAGGACUUGCCGAUCAGGAGGUCAGCGGUUCGAAUCCCCGCGACAGGGUGAGCUCCCGUUGCUCGGUCCCUGCUCCUGCCAACCUAGCAGUUCGAAAGCACGUCAAAGUGCAAGUAGAUAAAUAGGUACCGCUCCAGCAGGAAGGUAAACAGCAUUUCUGUGCGCUGCUAUAGUUCGCCAGAAGCGGCUUAGUCAUGCUGGCCACAUGACCCAGAAGCUGUACACCGGCUCCCUCGGCCAAUAAAGCGAGAUGAGCGCCGCAACCCCACGACUGGACCUAAUGGUCAGGGGUCCAUUUACUUUUACCUUUAAGGGUACUUACAAGGGACUGCAGUAAAUCAGCAUAGCACAGGAGGAAACGAAAAGCAGCGCCCUGGUUUCUGCAGAAAAGUGAGAGACAUUGGAGGUUGAAAGGGAGUGUGGGGAAGCUUGCAAAGCUUGCUCCAUGCUGAUCCUUUCAACCUCUGACAUUAGAGGUUGUAAGUGUGAGUGCCACUCAAAUGGAAACUGCUUCCCCCUCCUACUGCCCAUCAGCUGAUGCAUGAUUGUGAACGUACCCUGUUUUCACCAAAGGAGCAAUCGGAAGCCCACCGUGAAAUGUCAGAAUCAGCUUUCUGGAAGAAUUCUUCCUGCAGUUUUGGCUUGGUGCUAAAGCAGGCAAUUCCUGCACUUCCAAUUCUUUGCACUACAAAAAAAUUACACCCAGGAGUACUCCUGGGCCAACUGCUCAAGUGACUAGGCCACUCCAAAGCUCAGCCACAAACCAAAAUUCCCUGUUGCUUCUUUCUGCUUGAAUGGCAUGAUUAUCUUCUGGAACAUUAUGGCCCAGGUGCUGCCAGGUGAAAAUCCUUUAUCACUGUUCCACUCUGGCUAUGAAUCAGACCCUUGUUCCAUUGCAAGGGAUUAUAUCUGAUGGCAUCACUUCCAUUCAGGAGCAUAGAAGGGCACAGGUCAGCGUGGGACCAUGGAAGUUCUUUAAUGUGCUAGAAGAGGUGCUUGAUGGUGCUUUUACAAAGGACUUCCCCGAGCCAACAUCAGGGAUAUUUCGACGUCCACAAACAUGUCUUGAGCAGGAACACCAAGCGUGAAUCAUCGUUACCGUUUAACUGCUGCCUCUUUUUGUCCCGGUUCCAGCUCUCGCUAGUGAUCUUCUUGUGUGAGAUUGAUUAUUUCAUUAAGAAGUGGGGGUUUUCAAGGAUGGAACAAGAGGAGCUGGCAUUGUCUGAAAGCCAAUCCACGAGGCCAUGAAGGCUAGAUUAAGCAGGAAGCAAACUAGCCUAAGGGCAAUGAAAACAUAGGGCAAUGGGCAUGUACGUCAAAGGGAAGGCGGGGAUAAUUGCAAUAGUAAGAACAAGGCACAACAGCACAGACUAACACUUAGUUUGAAACUGCCUCCCUUUACCUGGCUGUUUCUUCGGAUGGCUCAUUACAACCUUCCCCAACCUAGUGCUCUCCAGAUGCUUUGGAUUACAGGUACCACCACCCCUACCAUUUGAUUUUGCUGGCUGGAACUUAAUGGAAGUUGUAGUACGAAACAUCUGGAGGGCACCAGGCUGGGGAAGGCUGGCUUGCUAUCCCUGACCACAUUUCCUCUGCCAUUUGCUCAGUUGGGGUUCUAGCGCAUGCCUCCACAACUUGUGACCCACCAAACUAUUCACCCUGUCCCCCACCUCAAAGCCACAUAUCAUGUUCUGCCAGGCAUUUGUCAACCCCUUUUUUGGCAGUUCCUUACCACACAUUUUUUAACAGGGGCGCGGGUGGUGCUGUGGUCUAAACCACUGAGCCUAGGACUUGCCGUUCAGAAGGUCGGCGGUUCAAAUCCCCAUGAUGGGGUGAGCUCCCGUUGCUCGGUCUGUGCUCCUGCCAACCUAGCAGUUCGAAAGCACGUCAAAGUGCAAGUAGAUACAUAGGUAAGGUAAGAUACCUUCCGGCGGAAAGGUAAACAGCAUUUCUGUGCGCUGCUCUGGUUUGCCAGAAGCAGCUUAGUCAUGCUGGCCACAUGACCCGGAAGCUAUACGCCGGCUCACUCGGCCAAUAAAGCGAGAUGAGCGCCGAAACCCCAAGGUCGGUCACAACUGGACCUAAUGGUCAGGGGUCCCUUUACCUUUACCACACAUUUUAAACACCAGCGAACAUAACGUACAAAAAGACAUGAUUAUAGGGGAAAUUGUUUCGCAAUUGUGUGUAUAUUUGACCAAACCGCCUACCAAAAAUGGUAUAUUAUCAUUAAAAUACUGGUGAAUUUUCAGGAUGAUUCCCUCCCCCCAUUUAAAUAGAUAAACCACAAACUGAUGAAGAAAUGUGGAGAACUGAACAUAAGGCUAGAGAAAUUAGAGAAACUGAAAUUGACAGAUUCACCCAUGCCUUACCAGAAGCACCUGAUUUUGUUACAGCUGCCAUCCAUUUGCUAGGCAGAUGUCCAGCUAAUAGCUCUGAGUGGCUGGCUGAUGGGAGUCAAUGAUUAAGAGACAGUUGGGAAAGAGAUGCCCAUUUGAGUUUGAGGAGAGACACACACAUAUACACACAGCAUUAAGGAGAAGGGCAGAUGUGUAAUUGUGUAUGUGACAAAAAAAAACACAACAGUUUUGAAUAGGCAGAAAGGGCACUUGCAAUAUGCAAUAUGAAAUAUUCAUUG